GCGGGUGUGGCGGAAUUGGCAGACGCGCUAGAUUCAGGAUCUAGUGGGCAACCCCCGUGGAGGUUCGACUCCUCUCACCCGCACCA
rnacentral:tRNA from 2 species